rnacentral:rRNA from 1 species
GACGAACGCUGGCGGCGUGCUUAACACAUGCAAGUCGUACGGUAAGGCCCUUUCGGGGGUACACGAGUGGCGAACGGGUGAGUAACACGUGAGUAACCUGCCCACAACUUUGGGAUAACGCUAGGAAACUGGUGCUAAUACUGGAUAUGUGCUCCUGCUGCAUGGUGGGGGUUGGAAAGCUCCGGCGGUUGUGGAUGGACUCGCGGCCUAUCGGCUUGUUGGUGGGGUAGUGGCCUACCAAGGCGGCGACGUGUAGCCGGCCUGAGAGGGUGACCGGCCACAUUGGGACUGAGAUACGGCCCAGGCUCCGACGGGAGGCAGAAGGGGGGAAUAUUGCACAAUGGGCGCAAGCCGGAUGCAGCAACGCCGCGUGCGGGAUGACGGCCUUCGGGUUGGAAACCGCUUUCAGCAGGGACGAAGCUUUUUGUGACGGUACCUGCAGAAGAAGCACCGGCUAACUACGUG